CCUACGGGAGGCAGCAGUGAGGAAUAUUGGUCAAUGGACGGAAGUCUGAACCAGCCAAGUAGCGUGCAGGAAGACGGCCCUAUGGGUUGUAAACUGCUUUUGUAUGGGGAUAAAGUCAAUCACGUGUGAUUGUUUGCAGGUACCAUACGAAUAAGGACCGGCUAAUUCCGUGCCAGCAGCCGCGGUAAUACGGAAGGUUCGGGCGUUAUCCGGAUUUAUUGGGUUUAAAGGGAGCGUAGGCCGGAGAUUAAGUGUGUUGUGAAAUGUAGACGCUCAACGUCUGACUUGCAGCGCAUACUGGUUUCCUUGAGUACGCACAACGUUGGCGGAAUUCGUCGUGUAGCGGUGAAAUGCUUAGAUAUGACGAAGAACUCCGAUUGCGAAGGCAGCUGACGGGAGCGCAACUGACGCUGAAGCUCGAAGGUGCGGGUAUCGAACAGGAUUAGAUACCCCAGUAGUC
rnacentral:rRNA from 1 species